rnacentral:rRNA from 1 species
UACGUAGGGGGCAAGCGUUGUCCGGAUUUAUUGGGCGUAAAGAGCGUGUAGGCGGCUUUGCAAGUCCGUUGUGAAAACUCGAGGCUCAACCUCGAGACGCCGGUGGAAACUGCAAAGCUAGAGUCCGGAAGAGGAGAGUGGAAUUCCUGGUGUAGCGGUGAAAUGCGCAGAUAUCAGGAAGAACACCAAUGGCGAAGGCAGCUCUCUGGGACGGUACUGACGCUGAGACGCGAAAGCGUGGGGAGCGAACAGG